rnacentral:rRNA from 1 species
UACGGAGGGUGCAAGCGUUAUCCGGAUUCACUGGGUUUAAAGGGUGCGUAGGAGGGCAGGUAAGUCAGUGGUGAAAUCUCCAAGCUUAACUUGGAAACUGCCGUUGAUACUAUCUGUCUUGAAUACCGUGGAGGUGAGCGGAAUAUGUCAUGUAGCGGUGAAAUGCUUAGAUAUGACAUAGAACACCAAUUGCGAGGGCAGCUCGCUACACGAAUAUUGACUCUGAGGCACGAAAGCGUGGGGAUCAAACAGG